AUCCAGCUGUCGAGUCCCAAACAGGACGAAAUGCGCGUUCUGGAU
rnacentral:hammerhead_ribozyme from 1 species